rnacentral:tRNA from 1 species
GCUGGUGUAGCUCAGCGGGAGAGCAGCGGUUUUGUAAACCGCUUGUCGUUGGUUCAAUCCCAACCACCAGCU